AUAACAUGUAAAUGCACAAAGAAAUGGCAAGGCAGUAUCUGAAGGGGAAAGAAACAGCAGAGAUUUUUCUGGGCGCCUGUCAACUGGUCCUUGCCAAGUAUGG